rnacentral:rRNA from 1 species
GAAACCCUGCAGCGUGCCUAAACAUGCAAGUCGCACCGAACGGACGAGAAGCUUGCUUCUCUGAUGUUAGCGGCGGACGGGUGAGUAACACGUGGAUAACCUACCUAUAAGACUGGGAUAACUUCGGGAAACCGGAGCUAAUACCGGAUAAUAUUUUGAACCGCAUGGUUCAAAAGUGAAAGGCGGUCUUGCUGUCACUUAUAGAUGGAUCCGCGCUGCAUUAGCUAGUUGGUAAGGUAACGGCUUACCAAGGCAACGAUGCAUAGCCGACCUGAGAGGGUGAUCGGCCACACUGGAACUGAGACACGGUCCAGACUCCUACGGGAGGCAGCAGUAGGGGAUCUUCCGCAAUGGGCGAAAGCCUGACGGAGCAACGCCGCGUGAGUGAUGAAGGUCUUCGGAUCGUAAAACUCUGUUAUUAGGGAAGAACAUAUGUGUAAGUAACUGUGCACAUCUUGACGGUACCUAAUCAGAAAGCCACGGCUAACUACGUGCCAGCAGCCGCGGUAAU